UCCAGGGGAGGGUCCAUCCUGCCUCUGCCAGCUUCUGGGGGCUCCAGGUGGCCCUGGGCUGGUGGCCACCUCCCUCCCAUCUCUGUCCCUAUCUCAAGUGGCUUCUCUUCUGUGUCUGGGUCUCCUGUCUCUUAGGAAGACACUGUCCUGGGAUGGAGGGCCCCCCUCAUCCAGGAGGACCUCCUCUCAGACCCUGCCCAUGGCUUCUCCUGUGUGUCUUCGCUGUUAGAAGGACACGUGUUAUGAGAUGUAGGGGCAACCUUCAUCCAUGAGGACCUGGUCCCUGGCACCCAGACCCAAAAACCUUAGCACUUUCUUGAUCCCUUUGAGCAGAGCACCUGUGGUUUUCCCCAAGAAAGCCAAGCACACCUGUUUCUGCUAAUGAGGUGGGACUGCUUGUCUGAGGAACCAUCCACGUGGUGAGACGGUUGGCUUUUUUAGCUCCACCCCCAACCUCCAGGGCCAAAGAUUUUCCCCUCUAGAGGGGAACCUCCCUAAAAAAAAGGGUUCGUAGAGCUUCUGGGUUGGGGAGCCCACAGUUGGGAGAAUGCUGCACCCCACACUCCAUGGGGACAGAAGCCCCUGAAUGUGGGACCCUCACCCACUCCCACCCCGACGUCGCCCUCCCCCUCUGGCUGUUCACCCCUUUAUCAGCAACAGGGAAGUCACGGGUUUCCUGACCUCUGUGGGAAGGGCACCCUCUGUCUGCAGGCGGUUGUACAGAAGUGGGGGUGAUCUGUGCCCCGCCUGUGGCUGGUGUUGAGGUGGGGGCUGUUUGCGGCGGCUGGGCCCCCUGCUCGACACAGGUUUGCAUCAACUCGGGGUUUCGGAGGUGAAUCAAAUUGGAGGCCACCCAGCUGGGGUCCAAAGGUAACUGGAGGAUUCCUUGGGGUGGAAACACAGCACGUUGGGUGUCAGAAGCCCUGUGAGCAGAGAAACAAUUUUCCUUUAACAAGCAAAACUGUGUUUAUGCAUGUUGAGCUAACACCUCCACCUGGAGGACCUCCCUGAUUUCUCCCUUUCCCUGUAAGACUGUCUGCCUUGAAAAGUCAGAAGCAGUCAGCUCAAGCACCAAUUAGAUCAUUCCCGAACCUGCUUCAAACCCUUGGUGGUUUCCAUGGAAGUUAGAAAAAGACAAAUGGCUUCCCCUGUCCCGCUGAUUGAGGCGGGGUGGCUUGUGCAGGGCGGGCAAGGAUUUGGAACCGCUUUGGGGCUGGUGGCAACCACCUCCCCUGGUCCAUCUCAGGUUAUAAUCUGUGUGCUAUGCCUUCAUGACAGUGACAAUAUUUCAUGACUUGGGUGUGACACAGGGAAGGGAUGACAACACUGGGGACUCGUCCUUGUGCCCAACCUUCUAAGAGCAGACACUUUGCUUUUGCAAGACUGAGGUUCAUCGUCUCUGGAAAUAAAGCUGCCUGUUUUUUGGUUUCUCCUGACAGGUGUGUCUCUGCAAUGUAAGACUACACGAGUUGAGUCUCGAAGUAACAGUAACAGCUGUGAUUUGUAGUCUUCGUAUUUUUGGUUUUUGGGGGUGGUGGUAAUUAAUGACCACAAAUCACUGGGGUUAAAACCACAGUACCCAUCCUCCCCCAACAUGGAGAGCCGAGGUCGAAGGCCAAGGGGUCCCAGGGUUGUGUUCCCCCCAGAAGCUCCAAGGGAGGGUCCUUCCUGCCCCUUCCAGGUCUGGGGGCUCCAGCUGGCCCUGGGCUAGUGGCCACCUCCCUCCCAUCUCUGGCUGCAUCUUCUUGUGGCUUCGGCUUUCUUAUCUCUUUUGUGAUAAUUAUUCCACUGAAGGAGCAUCUUCAUCCUUGAGGAUCUGGUCCCUUGCACAGAGCUCAAAGAACCGUAGCAAUUUCUUGAUCCCUUUGAGGAGAGCAUCUCUUGUGGUUUUUCCUGAGAAACCCAAGCACACCUGUGUUCAUGCUAAUGCGAUUUAUGCUAAUGAGGUGGGCUGGUUGCCAGAGGAACCAACAAGGUGAUUAAAGGGUUGGCUUUUUAAGCUCCACCCCAAACCUCGGGAUUUGCUGAGGAGUCAAGGCUUGAACCAGUCCUACUUGGCAGAAGCUCCCUCAAAUAGGGGUUCAUAGAGCUUCCAGAUUGGGGAGGCCACAGUUGGGAGGGUGCUGCACCCCAAACUCCAUGAAGACAAGCUCCUGCAUGUGGGACUCCCCAAACCUUGCCCUCCUCCUCUGGGUGUUGACCUCUUUAUGAACAACAGGUAGAUUGCAUUGGAGGACACCGAGCUGGGGUCCAAAGGGAACUGGAGGGUUCCUUGGUGUGGAAAUGCCCCACGCUGGGUGUCAGAAGCGCUGUGAGCAGGGAAAUCAUUUUCCCUUAACAGUGAAAUGUGUUUCUGCUUUUCCACAAACAUCUCCUCCUGGCAGACCUCCGAGACCUCAGCCUUCUCCCUGUUACCCAUUCUUCUCUCUAUAAUCAGAGUGGAGUCUGUAAAGCACGAAUUGAAUCCUGUCCUCAUGUGCUUCACACCCCUGGUGGAUUUCAUGGCUGUUAGAAAAAGGACAAACAGCCCCACCUGUCCUGCUGACUGAGGCGGGGUGGCUGGUGAAGGGCGGGCACAGAUUUGGACACACUUUGGGACUGGUGGCAACCACCUCCCCUGGUACAUCUCAGGUUAUAAUCUGUGCUGUGGCUUCAUGACCUUGACAAUACUUCAUGACUUAUGUCUGACACAGGGAAGAGGUGACAACACUGGGGAAUCAUCCCUGUGCCCAAACGUCUAAGAGUAGGUGCUCUGCUUUUGCAAGGCUGAGGCUCACAAACUAUAGUUGGCUGUUUUUUGGUUUCUCCUGACAGGUGUGUCUAUGAAAUUUAAUUUUCAAUGUUGACUCUCAUGGAAUGAGAGUUGAUUUUCCUUGCUCUAUAAAUUGGUUUCAGGUGUGUGUGGGGGAGGUUGUGAUAAUAAAUGACCACAAAUCAUGUGGGGUAAAACCCCAGGAACCCACGUUCCCCCAGCCUGGAGAGUAAAUGCCUGAGGUCAAGGGGUCCCAGGGCUGCGCUCCUUCCAGAGGCCUUGGGGAGGGUCCGUCCUGCCUCUUCCAGCUUCUGGGGGCUCCAGGCGGCCCUGGGCUGGUGUUCACCUCCCUCCUGUCUCUGCCUCCGUCUCCCCAUGGCCUCUCUGCAUGGUCCCUUUUGUUACAAGCCCCUUGUUAAGGACUUAGGGAGCAUCUUCCUCCAUGAGGACCUGGUCCCUGGCCCACAGCUCCUAAAACAGUAAAAAUUUCUUGAUGCCUUUGAGUAGAGCAUCUUUGGUUUUUCCUAAUAAAGCCAAUCUCAUGUGUUCAUGCUAAUGAGGUGGGGCUGGCUGCCAGAGGAACCCAUCAGGUGAGGAAAGGGUUGGCUUUUUUAGCUCCACCCCCAACCUCCGGAGCUGCUGUGGGGCCAAGCCUUUAAUCAGCCCUACGGAGGGGAACCUCCCUAAAACGAGGGUUCAGAGAGCAUCUGGAUUGGGGAGCCCACAGUUGGGAGGGGGCUGCACCUCAAUUCCAUGGAGACAAGUUCCAGCAGGCGAGACCCACACCCACCUCACCCUCCGCUUCCCUGUCUGGCUGCUUACCCCUUGCUGAGCAACAGGUAAGUCUCAUGUGCCCUGAGUUCUGGGGGGCACCCUCCAUGUGCAGGAGGUUGGACAGAAGUGUGGGAGAUUUGGGUCCCUGCCGGUGGUUAGUGGUGAGAUGGGGGCUGGGCCCUUCUCGGCUGGGUCUUCGCCCACUCGGGGCCCUUUCUGAGGUGAACUGAAUUGGAGGACCCCCAGCUGGGGUCCGAAGGGAACUGGGGGAUUCUUUGGUAUGGAAAUGCCCCACGCUGGGUGUUAGAAGCACUGUGAGCAGAGAAAUAAUCUUCCUUUAACAAUGAAAUGUUUGCUUUUCCAUCAAACACCUCCUCCUGGCAGACCUCCGAGAUCUCACCCUUUCCCCUGUUAGCCAUUCUUCUGUGUAAUCAGUGAUUUCUCCAAAACACCAAUUAAUUCGUGUCUGUACCUGCUUCAUAACCCUCGGGUGUUUUCAUGGUUGUUAGAAAAGAACAAAGGGCUUCAGCUGUCCAGCUGACCCGAGGUGGGCGGCUAGUGAAGGGUAGGCACGGAUAUGGAACACGCUUUCGGGCUGGUGGCAUUGACCUCCCCCGGGUACAUCUCAGGUUAUAAUCUGUGUGCUAUGGCUUCAAAAUGUUGACAGUAUUUCAUGACUUGGGUCUGACACAGGCAAGAGGUGACAACACUGGGGACUCAUCCCUGUGCCCGACCAUCUAAGAGCAGACACUUUUUCAAGACUGAUGCUCACAUCUGUAAAUAGUUACCUGGGUCAUUGCUCUUCACAGGUGUAUCUGUGCAAGUUAAUUUAGCAUGGUUGAUUCCCGUGUAGGUAGGGAUUGGUGGUCUUUGCUGUGUAAAUUGGUUUUGGAGGGGGGCAGGGGUGAUAACGCAAAUCACGUGGGUUCAAAUCACAGGAACCCACUCUCCUCCCUUCUGGACACCAAACAUCGGAACUCAAGGGGUCCCAGGGCUGUGUUCCCUGCAAAAGCUCCAGGGAGGGUCCUUCCUGCCCCUUCCAGGUCUGGGGGCUCCUGGUGGCCCUGGGCUGGUGGCCACCUCCCUCCCAUCUCUGCCUCCAUCUUCUUGUGGCUUCGGCUCUGUGUCAUCUCUUUUGUGGUAAACAUAUUAUUCGCUUGAGAGAGCAAUUCAUCAUUGAGAAUCUGGUUCCUUUCACAGAGCUCGAGAAAACUUAACAAUGUCUUGAUCCUUUUGAGGAGAGCAUUUCUUGUGGUUUUUCGUAAGAAACCCAAGCACACCUGUGUUCAUGCUCAUGCGAGUUAUGCUAAUGAGGUGGGGCUGGUUGCCAGAGGAACCAACAAGGUGAUUAAAGGGUUGGCUUUUUAAGCUCCACCCCAAACCUCGGGAGUUGCUGAGGGGCCAAGGCUUGAACCAGUCCUACUUGGCAGAGGCUCCCUCAAAAGGGGCUCAUAGAGCUUCCAGAGUGGGGAGCCCACAGUUGGCAGGGUGCUGCACCCCAAACUCCAUGAAGACAAGCUCCUGCACGUGGGGACUCCCCCAACCUUGCCCUCGCCCUCCUCCUGUGGGUGUUGACCUCUUUAUGAGCAACAGAUUCAAAGUGAAAGAGGCAAAACGUUCUUUUCCUUGUGGUAAGAACUGUCAGGAUUGGCUCUCAACACCCUUGGUGCAUAAGGUGUGUUGGUGCUGAUGCCAUUCGUCCUGUACGUUUCAUCCCAGGACCAACGUGUCUGAUGCCCUGUCGGUGGUACCUUCCCCUCCCCCUCCAGCCUCGGGGAACCACACAUCUCUUCCCUUCUGCUGUGAGUUUGUUUUGGGGACAAAAUUGACCUUCAGCACUCAUGCUGUUCCUCCUACACAAC